ACUCCUACGGGAGGCAGCAGUGGGGAAUUUUCCGCAAUGGGCGAAAGCCUGACGGAGCAAUACCGCGUGCGGGACGAAGGCUUUUGGGUCGUAAACCGCUUUUGUUAGGGAAGAAGAACUGACGGUACCUAACGAAUCAGCAUCGGCUAACUCCGUGCCAGCAGCCGCGGUAAUACGGGGGAUGCAAGCGUUAUCCGGAAUUAUUGGGCGUAAAGCGUCCGCAGGUGGUUUAUCAAGUCUGCUGUCAAAGCGUGGGGCUUAACCCCAUAAAGGCAGUGGAAACUGAGAGACUAGAGUACGGUAGGGGUAGCGGGAAUUCCCAGUGUAGCGGUGAAAUGCGUAGAUAUUGGGAAGAACACCAGCGGCGAAGGCGCGCUACUGGGCCGAAACUGACACUCAUGGACGAAAGCUAGGGGAGCGAAAGGGAUUAGAUACCCCUGUAGUCCUAGCUGUAAACGAUGACAACUAGGUGUUGCGCGUAUCGACCCGUGCAGUGCCGUAGCUAACGCGUUAAGUUGUCCGCCUGGGGAGUACGCACGCAAGUGUGAAACUCAAAGGAAUUGACGGGGGCCCGCACAAGCGG
rnacentral:rRNA from 1 species